rnacentral:rRNA from 1 species
UACGAGGGGGGGCGAGCGUUGUUCGGAAUUAUUGGGCGUAAAGGGUGCGUAGGCGGUUUGGUAAGUCUUGUGUGAAAUCUCUGGGCUCAACUCAGAGUCUGCACGAGAAACUGCCGGGCUUGAGUGUGGGAGAGGUGAGUGGAAUUCCUGGUGUAGCGGUGAAAUGCGUAGAUAUCAGGAGGAACACCUGUGGCGAAAGCGGCUCACUGGACCAUAACUGACGCUGAUGCACGAAAGCUAGGGGAGCAAACAGG